CACUAAUACAAUAUACAGCGCCGUGAAAAAGUAUUUGCCUCCUUUCUGAUUUCUGUGCUCUCUGCAUAUUUAUCACACACAAAGGUUUCAG